UGUCUAGGCGGUCAUAUUAGUCGUGCGUUAAAUCUGUGGGCCUAACCUGCAGCCGGCGUACGAAACGGUAUGACUCGAGGGCGUAAGAGGUGCACGGAACUCAUGGUGGAGGGGUGAAAUCCGUUGAUAUCAUGGGGAACACCAAAGGCGAAGGUCAGUGCACUGGUACGUUCCUGACGCUCAAACACGAAAGCCAGGGUAGCGAACG
rnacentral:rRNA from 1 species